ACACCUUACUCACUCCACCUCGCUCAAGCUCCCUCCCUCUCUCAUCUUCCUCACUCCACCGCACACACCUAGUAUACUCCCCUGCCUCCCGCCCUCUGCUUCGCUCCACCUCGCCAGUGCGGUCCAAGAAACAGCCCGACGCGGCUCCUCGGCAGUCCCCGACGGCCUCCAGAGACCCCACAGGCUCCUCGCCGCCAGCCUGCCACUCGCGACCCAACCAAUCGGCUCCACGGCGAGGAGCAGGAGCACCUCCUCGGGGACCCCUAGGAAGGCCCGAUUGGAGCAGCGCGCAGGAUUGCAAACGAAGGGAUCUAUGGAAAUGGAGGAGUAAGAGUGUUAAAUUCAUAUAUUCAUCGAACUUACCAGAGAUCAAAUCGACACGUCGAGGGGAUCUGCCAAUUUUCACCGCCGUAGCUAUUUGCAUAAGUCGGGGUUUGCUCGCCAUGCUGAUUGUCUCGGAGGAGUAGAGCGAAAUUUGGGCAAGUGGGUCCGUGUGUGAUUUGCGAUUUGUAAUAAUUGAAAAUUAAGUUUAUAGAAGGUGGCAUGGGAAGGUGAUUAUUCUGUCUGUUUGUAUAAGGAAGGUGCUCUCAUCUUAAUUAUCACAUUACCUGUGGGACGUUUAGAAUGUCAUAUUUUCUUCCGCACAACUUAUGAAUAGUAUUGAGCAGACUGGAGCACGUACUGGCUUCCAAGCUAAUCAAACGUCAAGUUCAAAAAAAUUGACAUAUAUUCUACUGAAAGAAUCAGUGAUACUGUGUAUGGUUGUCCAACAUAUUUUCUUUUUCUCCUGAUAGUUUCAAAAACUGCAACUUGUUUGUUAUUCGACUUGUGGAUGACGAAUAUUUGUUCAUGGCUACAGAAAGGGACGUACUUCUACCACAGGCACUUCAUAAUGCAGAGGGCAGCAGGGCUGUAUGGAUCUCUAUUGUGGAUGUGGCAGACGGGGAGGAUGUACCACGAGAACAUCUACAUCCAGAUGGUUGGCCUCUCCUCCGACCCCAUGAGAUGGAUCGGUGAGACACAGGUAACCGUCAGUUGUUGAUAUCCAAAUGCAAAAUCACAAAAAUGGUUUUAUGAUGGUAAGAGUUUCGAGUAAAUUUCAAAACACAGAAAACAUUACCCGGAGAAUUUUCCUACAAAUGGCACUGGCAGUUCAACUCUGAAAUUUUGAACUGGAAUCACCCUAGAAAAGUUAAGUUUACCGGUGAAUUGGAUGCUUUACAUCUCAUCAACUUGAUUAGUUCCGAAAAUUGAUACACCGCUUUCCUGAUAUAAUUUUAUCAUUUGAUACUUUCUAGUUAUGCAGACAUGUCGAGUUCAAUUAUUAUUACGCACUAUAGUUAAAUAAAAUGAGCUGUUUGUGCAGCAUACAUAUAUAUAUGAUAGCAAAAGGUAUUGCUAGGAUUUCUUUUAUGAAAAUUCUUACUCUUGUCAGCUAACUAAUCGUUUAAGAAAAAUAUGGGAUGUUGCUACACACUCAAUAUAGUUAAGCAAGCAUGGCCUUAAAGAUGCAGCUGAUGGUGAUAAAAUUAUCGUAAUGCACACAUAGUCAGCUCUCGCUGAUAACCUUAUCUAUUGACUUAACUGGAAUUGUUCACUAAUAAUGGUCAAUGGCAUAGCACUUUAAUCUGAAUCUCUCAUAACCUUAAUAAUUCAGGACACUUUCCUUUAGGAAAUGCUAUUUUCUCCUUGAAAUCUUUCAUGUCAGAUGCUGUCUGGUGGUCGAAAAUGAUAGGAGAUUCUGCGUCAAUUUCUGGUGUUAACGACAGCUACCGUGGUUUCUUGUUGUGUUGCAGUCGUUACAGUUGUUGCUAUUAUCUCCCUUGACAUCUGGCUGCUCAUAUUAUGGGGUUCCAUUUAAAUCAUUCAAAAUAGACUCAUGCAGAAUAAUAGCUGACUGCUUCCUAAAUAGUUUGAUACCCUUCUGCAAAUUAGUUAUUCGAAUUAAUUAGUUGCAGCACGGAUAUUGAUUGUAAUAUAAUAUUGACAGUAAUAUAAUUUUAUGAUACAUGUGUUACAGCGUGAGCUAGUUCGUCCUGUCCAAUGUUCCAUGAGUUUUAGCAAAACCAAGCCGCAUGACGAGCUACAAGAGUUUUAAAAUAAUAUUGGCCCAUAUGGAUGUUAAAUAUAAGGAAUUUCUGAAUAGUCACAAAGUGUAGUAAGCUUCUAACAUACCCAUCUGAUUGCAAUGGCUCGUGAAUACACUGCUCUAUUGGCCAGUUAGUUACUUCAAGGUCUGGCCACUUAUCACCUUUGUUGAAGUCACUAAUCUGAGAAGCAAUCUUAAGAUGAUUCUCAACACCCAGUAGUUGUUAAAUAGAAAAGAGCAUGACAUGUCCAUGUAAAAUAAAUGUUAUUUCACAAACAAUGUAAACUGAGUAAGUAUGGGAGUAGUAAACGCUCACUGUAAGUUGCAGGUCGGGCUGGCUCAUCCGAGAGCUGAACGAGUCAAGUACCUGUAUGUGGCGGUUUGGUGCAUCGACAUUACAUAUAUACCAAUGGUGAAUCGACAUUACAUGCUGAUAAAGUUGGACACCAUUAUGUAGUUAGGAUUAUCCUGGACCUUAUACAAUAGUGGUCAGUCUGAUGUCCUUUUAAGUGAUAACAUAGAUGAAAGUGAGAUCUGAGCUGAUAUUGUUGGCACAUACUUGAACCAAAAGAGUCAAGUAUUUGUAUGCAGCGAUUAGGCCCAUCGACGUUAAGUAAAAUCCAAUGAUUUAUAUUCGCGUUAACUGGCACAAAGAGCUGACAACAAAGAAAGUAAGUGGUAUCCAUAGUUUUAGAUUUAAAUAUGUAUGUAAUCAGAAAGUAUUGUGAUGUUACCAUCCAUUGUGGAAAUAUUUUCUUACGUCUCAUCCAACCAUCCAUUGUGUUAAAACAAGCACUCUAGGUCACUGCGCUUCAAGCAUGCGUCUAGUAUCUGCACCAGUUUGAUCUUUUGAGGCAAAGACAUGAUGUAUUCUUUUAUUUUCUCUUCGGUCAUCGCUUCCAUGGGCAAAACGUUUGUGCUCAUCUAUAUCAAGAUAAGCAAGAGUUGUUAGAAAAUAAAAAGAUAGUCAUGCGGAUCAUAUUAAUUCAAUUAGUCAUUGAAAGGACAAGUAUGCGAACUUUCCCAUCAAUAGGAUUGGCAAGCUAAGUGAAUGUACAAAGGCAAUAUACUUAGUUGCUUCCUUUCCAGAGUAUGAUGCCAGAUUAUACUUUCUUUGGGAAUAUGUUAUAACCAUGAAAAUAAUAUACCUUAGGAUAAGACUUUGCUUGUUGUGGUAGAUUUACAAAGAUUUUACUUGUUGCGGUAGAUUUUACUAUGCCAGAAUUUUUUUUUGUCUAGCCUAGCGUAGCCUUAGUAGGUGUAUAGGAUGCACCAUAAUUUUUAUUAUCUGCAUUCACCUACAUGUUACACUAUAUCUACCGCAGUGGCAACUAACAUGGAAUUUCCUUUCAUGUUUACACUAUCUCUACGGCUGUGGCAACUAACAUGUAGUUUGGGUACAGGGAGAUGCAAGAGUUGCAACAAUUUUAUAAGAUGAACAUAAAGUUUUAGCAAUUCCAUGAAAGGUAUAUCUUUAAUACUCAGGCAUCUACUUUCGAACCAAUUUAGAGGGGAGACAACCAUCAUGCCAACCAAUUUAGAGGUGCGAUCAACUUAUCUCUAUAACCCAUGUUACUCUCUAGAUGCAACAGGAAACAUUGAUUAGGCUAGAGGCAUUAUGACCUGACACACGCGGCCUCCUAGCUUUGUUAACAGAUCGAGGAAAGAUAAUACCGGUACAUCUUUUCUAGUACAUCUUUUCUAUCUGCAUGAUAACUCCAGUCACGUGAGAAAUACUAUGAAGUAAAUAGAUUGCAUGUUAUGCUAUGAAGUAAAUAGAUCUCAAAGCCUGAAACCUCAAAUAUCCUAUCAUAUUGGUAUUAGUGAACUAUUAAAACAUGUUGACUUGACACACCAGAUUACCGCAGAUUCUCACAUGAUGGGGAAGUUCUUCCAACAAAUGGGGAGACAACCAAUUUAAAAAGUGCACACAGCUUAGAGGUGUGAUUACAUACCUCCACUCUCCCUGAUGAUCCCAACAGAGGUUGUAAACUCUCCCUGAUGAUUCGCAUGAUAAUACCAGCCAAGGUGCGAGAUCAGGAAAUGAUGGACAGUCGGAGGCUUCCUUUCCUUGUUUCCUGAUGGUGUGGUGAUGAAAAUCUGUGGAAAUGAUGGAGUUUGCUUUCAUGUUGCCCUCAAAUUAUGGUGCGGUAGAGAUGGUGAAAUAAUGGUGCGGUGAUUUUGCUGUGGAGUUUCUUUUCCUGUUGCCCUCAAAUUAUGGUGCCGUAUAGAUGCUAAAUUGUUUGAGGCUUCCUUUCCUGAUGGUAUAGAUGCUAAAUUGUUUUAGGCUUCCUUUCCUGAUGGUGUGGUGAUGAAAAUCUGUGGAAAUGAUAGUUUCCUUUCCUGUUGCCCUCAAAUUAUGGUGCGGUGAUUUUGCUGCGGAGUUUCUUUUCAUGUUGCCUGAAAAGGUGUAGUUUCCUUUUGUAGAGAUGCUAAAUUGUUUGAGGCUUCCUUUUGUGUUGCCCUGAAACGGUGGAGUUUCCUUUGCUGUGGAAUGAUGGCGUGGUUCAGAUACUGA